AUUGAACGCUGGCGGCAGGCCUAACACAUGCAAGUCGAACGGUAACAGGAAGCAGCUUGCUGCUUUGCUGACGAGUGGCGGACGGGUGAGUAAUGUCUGGGAAACUGCCUGAUGGAGGGGGAUAACUACUGGAAACGGUAGCUAAUACCGCAUAACGUCGCAAGACCAAAGAGGGGGACCUUCGGGCCUCUUGCCAUCGGAUGUGCCCAGAUGGGAUUAGCUAGUAGGUGGGGUAACGGCUCACCUAGGCGACGAUCCCUAGCUGGUCUGAGAGGAUGACCAGCCACACUGGAACUGAGACACGGUCCAGACUCCUACGGGAGGCAGCAGUGGGGAAUAUUGCACAAUGGGCGCAAGCCUGAUGCAGCCAUGCCGCGUGUAUGAAGAAGGCCUUCGGGUUGUAAAGUACUUUCAGCGGGGAGGAAGGGAGUAAAGUUAAUACCUUUGCCCAUUGACGUUACCCGCAGAAGAAGCACCGGCUAACUCCGUG
rnacentral:rRNA from 1 species